UAACACGUGGGUAACCUGCCCUGAUGAUCGGGACAACCCGAGGAAACUCGGGCUAAUACCGAAUGUGCCCUCCGGCCAUAAGGCCACUGGGGAAAGGAAGCUUCGGCCUCCGCAUUGGGAUGGGCCCGCGGCCCAUUAGCUUGUUGGUGAGGUAACGGCUCACCAAGGCAAUGAUGGGUAGCUGGUCUGAGAGGACGAUCAGCCACACUGGGACUGAGACACGGGCCAG
rnacentral:rRNA from 1 species